rnacentral:rRNA from 1 species
GACGAGCGCUGGCGGCGUGCUUAACACAUGCAAGUCGAACGGAAAGGCCCCCACCUUGGUGGGGGUGCUCGAGUGGCGAACGGGUGAGUAACACGUGGGUGAUCUGCCCUGUACUUCGGGAUAAGCUUGGGAAACUGGGUCUAAUACCGGAUAGGACCAUGGUUUAGUGUCUCAUGGUGGAAAAAUUAUUGUUUUGGUGCAGGAUGAGCUCGCGGCCUAUCAGCUUGUUGGUGGGGUAAUGGCCUACCAAGGCGUCGACGGGUAGCCGGCCUGAGAGGGUGGACGGCCAAAUUGGGAAUGAGAUACGGCCCAGACUCCUACGGGAGGCAGCAGUGGGGAAUAGUGCACAAUGGGCGCAAGCCUGAUGCAGCGACGCCGCGUGGGGGAUGACGGCCUUCGGGUUGUAAACUCCUUUCGUUAGGGACGAAGCCACACCUUUUUUGGGUGUGGUGACGGUACCUUUGUUAAGAAGCACCGGCUAACUACGUG